rnacentral:sRNA from 1 species
UUACAAUCAGAUAUGAAUAUGAUAAACUAUUGAUGAUAGAAAAGAACUUUCAUGCAUUACGAGGUAAUAUUCAGAUAGAGUCUUACGUGGCAAGUGUCUUCAACGCAAGACGUACGUUUUCACAACGUUAAAAUAUAUAUAUUUUUCAUUUUGAACUUACAUUGAUGUUUUUUUUUGAAAAAAAUAAAUUUAGAAAUUUUAUUAUAAAAAAUGAUACUGCAAAUUAUUGUUUUGUUAUUCAUUCCGUCAGAAUUUCUGUAAUUGAAUAUCUUAUUGUUUUGAAUUGGACACUGAUCAAAGCAAUAUUUUGCUAUAAUUUUUUCAUUUCAUUUGAAAAAAAAAUAUUUUUGAUAAUUAUGUUACACAUGCUCGAGUCUGAUAAAAUGUGAUAUAUUUUUUUUGCAUUCAUGACAACUACUCUCAUUUUCAAAAUCAUUGCCAUAUCUUCGGCAGUUCUUCAAUUCAUUUCAUCAUUUUUGGUAUAAAACAACUUGUAAAUAUUCAUGAUGUAUCGUACAACGCCAACAGUUAUAUAAUAUUUGAGUGUAUUUAUAUAUAGAUAUGCCUCUGUACAUUUUGUCACUACUUGUUGUGAUUGUAAAUUAGUAUGUGCGGAAGAAUUAAAAUCAACAACUGUUAAUAUUUUG